rnacentral:tRNA from 1 species
GCCCUGACAGUUUAUAGCCUAAAUAUUGGUCUUGUAAGCCAAAGACUGCAGUAUAACCCCUGCUCAGGGCU